CCCUUAGAUGUUCUGGGCCGCACGCGUGCUACACUGAGUGGAUCAGCGGGUCAGGUUGCGCGAAAGUGUUUCCUAAUCUUGAAAUCCGCUCGUGAUGGGGAUUGACGGUUGCAAUUUUCCGUCAUGAACGAGGAAUACCUUGUAAGCGCGGGUCAUCAUCCCGCGCUGAAUACGUCCCUGCCCUUUGUACACACCGCCCGUCGCUCCUACCGAUUGAGUGGUCCGGUGAGGCUUUGGGAUCUGAGCGGAAAGAGCGUUUCGCUGUUUCUGCUCGGAAAACUCAGUCGAACCUUAUCGUUUAGAGGAAGGAGAAGUCGUAACA
rnacentral:rRNA from 1 species